rnacentral:rRNA from 1 species
UGGGGAAUUUUGGACAAUGGGCGAAAGCCUGAUCCAGCCAUUCCGCGUGAGUGAAGAAGGCCUUCGGGUUGUAAAGCUCUUUCGCAAGGGAAGAAAGAUUACUCUCUAACAUAGAGUGAUUAUGACGGUACCUUGAUAAGAAGCACCGGCUAACUACGUGCCAGCAGCCGCGGUAAUACGUAGGGUGCGAGCGUUAAUCGGAAUUACUGGGCGUAAAGCGUGCGCAGGCGGUUUUGUAAGUCAGAUGUGAAAUCCCCGAGCUCAACUUGGGAACUGCGUUUGAAACUACAAGACUAGAAUAUGUCAGAGGGGGGUAGAAUUCCACGUGUAGCAGUGAAAUGCGUAGAGAUGUGGAGGAAUAUCAAUGGCGAAGGCAGCCCCCUGGGAUAAUAUUGACGCUCAUGCACGAAAGCGUGGGGAGCAAACA